UACGUAGGGUGCAAGCGUUGUCCGGAAUUAUUGGGCGUAAAGAGCUCGUAGGCGGUCUGUCGCGUCUGCUGUGAAAACCUGGGGCUUAACCUCGAGCUGUCGGCGGAAACCAUCUGGCUAGAGUCCGGAAGAGGAGAAUGGAAUUCCCGGUGUAGCGGUGAAAUGCGCAGAUAUCGGGAAGAACACCGAUGGCGAAGGCAGGUCUCUGGGCCACUACUGACGCUGAGAAGCGAAAGCAUGGGGAGCGAACAGG
rnacentral:rRNA from 1 species